GAUGAACGCUGGCGGCGUGCCUAAUACAUGCAAGUCGAGCGAACAGACGAGGAGCUUGCUCCUCUGACGUUGGCGGCGGACGGGUGAGUAACACGUGGAUAACCUACCUAUAAGACUGGGAUAACUUCGGGAAACCGGAGCUAAUACCGGAUAAUAUAUUGAACCGCAUGGUUCAAUAGUGAAAGACGGUUUUGCUGUCACUUAUAGGUGGAUCCGCGCCGCAUUAGCUAGUUGGUAAGGUAACGGCUUACCAAGGCGACGAUGCGUAGCCGACCUGAGAGGGUGAUCGGCCACACUGGAACUGAGACACGGUCCAGACUCCUACGGGAGGCAGCAGUAGGGAAUCUUCCGCAAUGGGCGAAAGCCUGACGGAGCAACGCCGCGUGAGUGAUGAAGGUCUUCGGAUCGUAAAACUCUGUUAUUAGGGAAGAACAAAUGUGUAAGUAACUAUGCACGUCUUGACGGUACCUAAUCAGAAAGCCACGGCUAACUACGUG
rnacentral:rRNA from 1 species